rnacentral:rRNA from 1 species
GCCUACGGGGGGCAGCAGUCGAGAAUCAUUCACAAUGGGGGAAACCCUGAUGGUGCGACGCCGCGUGGGGGAAUGAAGGUCUUCGGAUUGUAAACCCCUGUCCUGUGGGUGCAAAUUAAAAAGAUAGUACCACAAGAGGAAGAGACGGCUAACUCUGUGCCAGCAGCCGCGGUAAUACAGAGGUCUCAAGCGUUGUUCGGAAUCACUGGGCGUAAAGCGUGCGUAGGCUUUUUCGUAAGUCGUGUGUGAAAGCCGCGGGCUCAACCCGCGUAAGGCACAUGAGACUGCGAGACUCGAGUAAUGGG